CAGCUUUUUUCUGGGGGAGAUGCUCCAGCAGCACUUGGCAGCAAAUGUUGGGGAUGAAUCCAUAGGAACAGAUAAAUCCACAGUCACUGCCAGGCCCUUUCCAGCACUGAAUUCCCAGCUGAGGGGAGAGGAGCCUCUGAAAUUGGCCCUUCCAGCACAGCAGCUGCUUGGUGCCAGUGCCUGGAACCUGGGAUUGAUCCUGAUUGUCCAGCUCUGGAGUCCCUGAGUGCUGGACUAUGGAAAACAGCCAAGACAGUGGAUGAGCCCUGUGUCACCCGGUGGUUUUGGGCAGGGCACAGCCACUGGCAGUGGGUGUGUCUGGGGAGAGGAGCCACUGCUUCCCUUCCCAGCAAGGUCUGGGAAAGGCAGCCCAGAGGAUGAGGCUUGGGAAGGAGUUGUGAGCUGGGAAGUGGCUCAAAUCAAGUUUAAGUAGCCUUAAACUCCUGGAAUGGUCUGGGUUGGAAGGAACCUUAAAGAUCUUCCUGUUUAACACCCUGCCAUGGUCAGGGACACCCUCCUGGGGUGUGCCUGGAAUCUGCUCUGUGCCGGGCUGGUGGAAUGGGUGGGGUUUUCUCCCUGAGCCCAGUCCUGGGCAAGUUUGGGGCUUCCAUGGGAAGAAGCCUGGGAGCUGCAUUUCCACACCUGGGAGGCUCCAUGCCUGGAAAUGUUUCCAGUUCUGCUAUUUGUUUUUUUCCAAAACCGGGCAUUACAUUUCUCUGAGUGAGGUGGUUUUCCCUGGGUUGUUGGGAUUGCACACUGGGUGUUUAAGGGCUCUGAUGUAUCUUUCUCCUGAAUGGAGGAGUAAGGAAAUGGGGAUGCUCCCAACUGUCACAGAGAUGUGGGAACAGCCCAGUUGCAGUGAGGAAUGUGGUGCCCAGCUCAUGGUGUGCACCCUGAGAUGGUCUUUCUUGUUGUUUAUUUCUUGGAGCCUGUUGGAGUGCUGGCUGGAUUUGGGAGCCAAGUAUCCUGGAGCUGUGAGGCUUUUCCUGUCAGAAAUCCAUGGUGGGGAUGUUUUCCCUGGCUGUCCCAAGUGGAAGGAACAACUUUGGAGUCGUUGCAGCCACAGGCUGGGGAUGCAUCCUCUGAAAACCAGUUCAGGAUUGUUCAUCUGACUCUGCCUCUGACCUGUGACUUCCAGGGACCCUCCUGAUAUCCUGGGUAUUCCCAGGAGAGGAUAUUCCACCACCUGCCUUUUGAGCCAGGAAUUCCAGACCCAGAUGAGGGAGCCAGCCCUGCCGAGGAGGAAGAGGAGGAGGUGUGGGAGGAUGGAGACAGCGGCCACCAAAGGCUGGGGAAGGCACAGGUCCAGCCCUUUGCUCCCACAGGUGGUGCUUUAGGAAAGCCCCUCCAGCCUGGGAAGGUGCUUUUGGCUCCGGACACAUUCCCAGAGCCCAGGAGCAGCAGGACCUGUGCUGUGCCCAGCAGGACAGGAAAAACCACUUAACUCAUCCCACCUUUGCCUAGCUUUGGUGUUUGAGCAGCCAAACCCAACGGGCUCCAGCCUGCACUGGAGGGCCCCUGGUCCUGCCCAGGGUGUGAGGUGAGUCCCCAGCUGUGCCCAGAGUGUCACAAACCCAGAGGGAUCUGCCCUGGGCUCAGGCUGG